CCUACGGUAGGCAGCAGUGAGGAAUCUUGGUCAAUGGACGCAAGUCUGAACCAGCCAUGCCGCGUGCAGGAAGACGGCUCUAUGAGUUGUAAACUGCUUUUGUACGAGGGUAAACGCAGAUACGCGUAUCUGUCUGAAAGUAUCGUACGAAUAAGGAUCGGCUAACUCCGUGCCAGCAGCCGCGGUAAUACGGAGGAUUCAAGCGUUAUCCGGAUUUAUUGGGUUUAAAGGGUGCGUAGGCGGUCGGAUAAGUUAGAGGUGAAAUCCCGAGGCUCAACUUCGGAAUUGCCUCUGAUACGGUUCGGCUAGAGAGUAGUUGCGGUAGGCGGAAUGUAUGGUGUAGCGGUGAAAUGCUUAGAGAUCAUACAGAACACCGAUUGCGAAGGCAGCUUACCAAGCUACUUCUGACGUUGAGGCACGAAAGCGUGGGGAGCAAACAGGAUUAGAUACCCGGGUAGUC
rnacentral:rRNA from 1 species